rnacentral:rRNA from 1 species
ACGGCGAGUGAACAGGGAAAAGCCCAAAUUUGUAAUCUGGCACUUUUUACAAGUGUCCGAGUUGUAAUUUGUAGAGCUGUUAUCCGUACUGGACCAUGUACAAGUCUGUUGAAAAGCAGCAUCAUUGAAGGUGAAAAUCCUGUAGAUGAUAUGGACUACCAGUAUAUUUGUGAUACGGUUUCUAAGAGUCGAGUUGUUUGGGAAUGCAGCUCAAAGUGGGUGGGUAAAUUCCAUCUAAGGCUAAAUAUAAGUGAGAGACCGAUAGCAAACAAGUACCGUGAGGGAAAGAUGAAAAGAACUUUGAAAAUAGAGUUAACAGUACGUGAAAUUGCUGAAAGGGAAACGUUUGAAGUUAGUUUUGUAUUCGUUGGAUCAGCUUCGCAAGGAGUGUAUUCUGAUGAUAAGCAAGUCAACAUCAGUCUAUGAGUGUUGGAUAAGGGUUUUGAGAAUGUAGCAAUUUAAUUGUGUUAUAGCUUGAGACUUGGAUACAAUGCUUUGGAUUGAGGAACGCGUAGUAAGCUUUGAGCGGAUUCGAAAGGAUCUCCUUACUAUG